UACGGAAUGGAUAAGCGCUGAAAGCAUCUAAGCGCGAAGCCAACUUCAAGAUAAGAUUUCCCACCGUAAGGGUAAGAUCCCAGGGAGACUACCUGGUUGAUAGGUCAAAGGUGUAAGUGCAGCAAUGUAUGUAGCUUAUUGAUACUAAUAGAUCGAGGACUUGACCAAG
rnacentral:rRNA from 1 species